rnacentral:rRNA from 1 species
UAUUGCACAAUGGGGGUAACCCUGAUGCAGCGACGCCGCGUGAGUGAAGAAGUAUUUCGGUAUGUAAAGCUCUAUCAGCAGGGAAGAAAAUGACGGUACCUGAUUAAGAAGCCCCGGCUGACUACGUGCCAGCAGCCGCGGUAAUACGUAGGGGGCAAGCGUUAUCCGGAUUUACUGGGUGUAAAGGGAGCGUAGACGGCAGCACAAGUCUGGAGUGAAAUGCCGGGGCUUAACCCCGGGACUGCAUUGGAAACUGUUGAACUGGAGUACAGGAGAGGUAAGCGGAAUUCCUAGUGUAGCGGUGAAAUGCGUAGAUAUUAGGAGGAACACCAGUGGCGAAGGCGGCUUACUGGACUGUAACUGACGUUGAGGCUCGAAAGCGUGGGGAGCAAACAGG